rnacentral:misc_RNA from 1 species
CCUGUUCGAGCGUCAUUAUGACCACUCAAGCCUAGCUUGGUAUUGGGGUUUGCGGUCUCGCGGCCCUUAAAAUCAGUGGCGGUUCCAUCUGGCUCUAAGCGUAGUAAUUUAUCUCGCUAUUGGGUCCGGUGGUUGCUUGCCAACAACCCCCAACUUAUAAGGUUGACCUCGGAUCGAGUAGGGAUACCCGCUGAACUUAA